rnacentral:rRNA from 1 species
UUAAUUGAAGAGUUUGAUCAUGGCUCAGAUUGAACGCUGGCGGCAGGCCUAACACAUGCAAGUCGAGCGGUAACAGAGAGAAGCUUGCUUCUCUGCUGACGAGCGGCGGACGGGUGAGUAAGACUUGGGAAUUUGCCUUUAGGCGGGGGACAACCACGGGAAACUGUGGCUAAUACCGCAUAAUGUCUACGGACCAAAGUGGGGGACCUUCGGGCCUCACACCUAAAGAUGAGCCCAAGCGGGAUUAGCUGG